GUGUCAGCCGCCGCGGUAAUACGGAGGGUGCAAGCGUUAAUCGGAAUUACUGGGCGUAAAGCGCACGCAGGCGGUCUGUCAAGUCGGAUGUGAAAUCCCCGGGCUCAACCUGGGAACUGCAUCCGAAACUGGCAGGCUAGAGUCUUGUAGAGGGGGGUAGAAUUCCAGGUGUAGCGGUGAAAUGCGUAGAGAUCUGGAGGAAUACCGGUGGCGAAGGCGGCCCCCUGGACAAAGACUGACGCUCAGGUGCGAAAGCGUGGGGAGCAAACAGGAUUAGAUACCCUGGUAGUCCACGCUGUAAACGAUGUCGACUUGGAGGUUGUUCCCUUGAGGAGUGGCUUCCGGAGCUAACGCGUUAAGUCGACCGCCUGGGGAGUACGGCCGCAAGGGUAAAACUCAAAGGAAUUGACGG
rnacentral:rRNA from 1 species